rnacentral:rRNA from 1 species
GACAGAGGGUGCAAACGUUGUUCGGAAUUACUGGGCGUAAAGCGCGUGUAGGCUGCUCGGAAAGUCGGGUGUGAAAGCCCUGGGCUCAACCUAGGAAGUGCACUCGAAACUUCCGAGCUGGAGUGCUGGAGAGGAAGGCGGAAUUCUCGGUGUAGAGGUGAAAUUCGUAGAUAUCGAGAGGAACACCGGUGGCGAAGGCGGCCUUCUGGACAGCUACUGACGCUGAGACGCGAAAGCGUGGGGAGCAAACAGG